AUGCUAGGACAGCUUAAUCUGGAUUUUGAAGCAAUGAGUACCUGUAAAAGGGCCAGGACGGAAGCUACAUCUGUUGUGUGUUCAGACAGACUGAGCAGUCUACCUCCAGAGAUAAAGGGCGACAUCCUCUCCCGUUUGAAUGUCGAAGAAGCGGUUAGGACUAGCAUCUUAUCAUGUACUUGGAGGGAUGCUUGGGGUAAUAUGCCAGAGAUAUCUCUGCGCGAAGGAAAUUUUACACGAACCAAGUUCGUUACGUUGGUUGAUAUGGUGCUAUUACUCCACAAGGGAACUAUAGAAGAGUUUGAUAUUUCAGGUAACAAAAGUUACCAUGAUGAGUUCGGUAGGUGGAUGCUCAUGCUGUCAAGGAGAUCACCAAGAUCAGUUAUAAUCAAGUUGAACUCAGGGCCAAGGUAUAGGAUUCCCUCAUACCUCUUUUCUAUCGGCGAUCUGGAGUCUCUGGACCUAGAAAACUGCAUCAUCAGCUUAUUCCAAGGUUUCAAGAGCCUAACUGACCUCAGCCUGGAAAAUUUCUCCUCCAGAGACAUGGAUAUGCAAACAUUGAUCUCGUCCUGCCCUGUACUGACUGAUUUGAUAUUAACUUCUGUUGAGGCCUUGAGGGCAUCAACUGUCUAA
rnacentral:rRNA from 1 species